rnacentral:rRNA from 1 species
GUAGUCCACGCCCUAAACGAUGCGAACUGGAUGUUGGGGACAAUUGAGUCUUCAGUAUCGAAGCUAACGCGUUAAGUUCGCCGCCUGGGAAGUACGGUCGCAAGACUGAAACUCAAAGGAAUUGACGGGGGCCCGCACAAGCGGUGGAGUAUGUGGUUUAAUUCGAUGCAACGCGAAGAACCUUACCUGGCCUUGACAUGCACGGAACUUUCCAGAGAUGGAUUGGUGCCUUCGGGAACCGUGACACAGGUGCUGCAUGGCUGUCGUCAGCUCGUGUCGUGAGAUGUUGGGUUAAGUCCCGCAACGAGCGCAACCCUUGUCCUUAGUUGCCAGCACGUAAUGGUGGGAACUCUAAGGAGACCGCCGGUGACAAACCGGA